CCUACGGGAGGCAGCAGUGAGGAAUAUUGGUCAAUGGCCGUAAGCCUGAACCAGCCAAGUCGCGUGAAGGAAGAAGGUUCUCUGGUUUGUAAACUUCUUUUAUAGGGGAAUAAAGGUAUCCACGUGUGCCUCUUUGCAUGUACCCUAUGAAUAAGCAUCGGCUAACUCCGUGCCAGCAGCCGCGUUACUACGGAGGAUGCGAGCGUUAUCCGGAUUUAUUGGGUUUAAAGGGUGCGUAGGUUGGUUUUUAAGUCAGUGGUGAAAGUUUGUGGCUCAACCAUAAAAUUGCAGUUGAAACUGGAAGACUUGAGUGUGUGUGAGGUAGGCGGAAUGCGAGGGGUAGCGGUGAAAUGCGUAGAUA
rnacentral:rRNA from 1 species